rnacentral:rRNA from 1 species
UACGGAGGGUGCGAGCGUUAAUCGGAAUUACUGGGCGUAAAGCGCACGCAGGCGGUUUGUUAAGCUAGAUGUGAAAGCCCCGGGCUCAACCUGGGAUGGUCAUUUAGAACUGGCAGACUAGAGUCUUGGAGAGGGGAGUGGAAUUCCAGGUGUAGCGGUGAAAUGCGUAGAUAUCUGGAGGAACAUCAGUGGCGAAGGCGACUCCCUGGCCAAAGACUGACGCUCAUGUGCGAAAGUGUGGGUAGCAAACGGG